rnacentral:rRNA from 1 species
CACGUAGGGGGCUAGCGUUGUUCGGAUUCAUUGGGCGUAAAGGGUGCGUAGGCGGCGCGGUAAGUCGGGUGUGAAAUCUUGGAGCUUAACUCCGAAACUGCAUUCGAUACUGCCGUGCUUGAGGACUGGAGAGGAGACUGGAAUUUACGGUGUAGCGGUGAAAUGCGUAGAUAUCGUAAGGAAGACCAGUGGCGAAGGCGGGUCUCUGGACAGUUCCUGACGCUGAGGCACGAAGGCCAGGGGAGCAAACGGG